rnacentral:misc_RNA from 1 species
UAACGUAGAAAAAUAUGUCCACUGCGGUUUCAAAUCUGUUCCUGUAGAUUUCGGAGGCUUUUGAGUUGCUGGGGGAAAGUUGAGACUUUUGACACUUAUAAAUAUAAUAUUCGGGACCUUGGAAGAAACAAAACACGAAAAUUUUCAUAAUGUGUAAGAAAGCGACUUGUGAUACCUGUGGAAAGACAACGUGGAUUGGUUGUGGGAAGCACGUUGAAAGUGUGAUGAAAGAUGUUCCAGAUGAGGACAAAUGUAAAUGUGAGGUUCACAACCCUAAAUCAUGUUCAGCAAUUUGAAAAUAAGUUUAUUCCUUCAGUUUAUCAACUGAAAAUGCAGUAGCAUGAAUAUUUUGUUAUCUCUAUUUUCAUCAACCAUGAAUCAUUAAAAGUGUUAAACAAUGUC